GGAAAGCUCAACAAAUAAUUAUUAAUAACAUGAUUUUUCAGUAUGUGUUGUACUGGAGUAUAAGUAGCAGGACCUCCCAAACUAGUAAAUGAAAUUGUGACUUAUACUCUGAAAAAUACAGUAAAUAUAGCAGAUUCACCUUUUGAAAGUUACUUUAUCUCAGCUGUGCCACAUAUAACAAACAGAACCCGCCUUGAAUGUAACGAGCUCAGCAGUUUUGUCACCUUCAAAAAGAUUUCAGUCUUGGUUCUGUUUUAAGAAUCUCUUACCGUCUUUAUAGAUGACGGUAACACCAGUGGACAGUCUGCAUUCAGUAUUUACUGAGUGAAAUCAUUUGCCAGUUGUAUUAUGUGACAAUCUGCCCUUUGACCUCAUAUUAAUGAUAGUAAGAAUUAGUAGUAAUGUGAAUUUUACAAAAAAUGUGCCAAUAGUAUAAAGUUUGCAAUAUGUAUGCUUUUUACUGUAACAUGUUUGCCAUCAGCACUGAUCACAUGUCCAGUGUCGGCCUUUAUGUUCAUAGUUUGAUGAAAAAUAUUUAAUAUUCUAAUGUACAUGGAAAGUGCUCUAGUUUUUGUACCAAAUGAAGUACAGUCAAACAAGACAAACUGUACAGUGCAAGUAUUUUGCUCACAUCUUUGGAAGUGUGUAUCAGUGUUGGAUUUUGGAAGCUAACCUUCUGCAUGGACACGCACGUGCACACACGCACACAUACCAGUGCAGUUCUACUGUUGUAAAAUUUAUUUUCCAGUUAUUUUUUCCCUCUUUCUGUGGUUGUGAGGGGUUUCUUUUAAUAAGGAUUCAGAAAUGUGAAUGCUCAUAUGUUUCAAUAUUUGGUAAUGGCUUUUUUUUAAGAACCUUUGCACAAUGUUUUAUAUAAAGUUAGUGUUUCCAGGUUGUGGAUGAGAUUCUGUAUGUGAACUGAUCAACUCCUGUACAAUUUGGUCUGAAUGUACUUUGUUUUGCUAUAUAGUUUUCAUGCUGGUGUGAGUAAAUUCAUCUAGUUGAAGGUGCUUGACUUUAUCCACCUAAAAAACAAAACCAUAAAACUCCCUCUUUUCCUAAGGCACUGUCGGUGAGAGUGGAACAGGAUGGAUACUGUUGGAGAUUUUGGGUUGGUCUUGUGAUGACUGCAGUGUGAGCGGCGGCUUUCACAGAACUCAGGGGGACGACAUGCCCUGUUUUGUUUUGAUUUCUCUGCUUUUUGUUUGUUGGAAGACCAAAUGUAUCGACUUGUGAUUGGUGAUGAUCCACACGGGAAGACAAAUUUUCCAACUAUAUAUAGAUACAUAGAGAGAGAGAGAAUGAGUGAAGAAUCUG